ensembl:lncRNA
AAGAGGUGAACUAGAUUAAUAGCAUUGCUGGUGUGUCUGUGUAGAUGCUGGGCUCCUAGGAAGGAAGUAGGUUACACACAGUGGGCCAAUCUCACCAAGAAACGGGGAGCACGCUAUCUUGUGCUUGCAAAUUAUCUUCAGUUCACUCUUUACUUUUGGUUGGACCCUUAAUGCUAUUGCAGAGUUGAAUGACCAGAAAGGAAGCAUUUGUAUCACGUGCAUUUUAAUGUGAGGACAAACUUGGUUUAACUUAGGGUUUUCAAGGUGAGCCAAACCAGUGUUGAGAUAUUGCAUAGGACUUCGGAUGUAACUUUUGCAUCAGAAUCUCAUGCACACAUGCGGAGGGCCAGCAUGUCUGAGCCCUGUGUGCUUGCAGCACACGAAGUGGAAGCUCAAGAGGCCAGUGGUGAAGGUGGGCCUGCUGUCGGGGUGCCACGGAGCCUCGUCACCACAGGAGAGCACCCCAGUCCAAGAGCGCUUCCUGUGGCCUCUGCAGGUCCUCCGGGUCCUUGUCAUCACUUUGCAGUGAGUGACGGCCCCGCUUCCUGUCUGCGAGACUCUCCCACUUCAGGUCCCUGCGGCUGUGGAUUUGUGUUGGGGUCUGGUCCCAGGUUCCUCUCUCUGCCCUUCCCAGGUGAGCAUGGACCUGCAUCUCACUGAUCCAGGCCCCAUCUGUUCACCUCGGCUCAUGACGUGGUGGGGGCUGGGCUGCCGGCGACUACCUGGCCCAGAUGCUGCAGCCCGGCUGGCCGGUCGCCGACCACAACCCUGUGUCCUGCAGCCUUAUAGAUUCUGAGUUGACAGCACGCUGUCUUCUCACCUCAUCUGCUGUGCUGCUGGCUGUCAGGCUUCCGCUCUGCUGUGCGGGCGCUGCUCCUCAUAAGAACCUCAGGGCUCCCAGAAACAGGGUCCUCGUGGGAAGCGGAGGGGGACGCAGGAGAUGCUGCCCUGUGCAGACCUGGUCCUCUGUCCAACACAGGCGGAGAAGUAGAGUCUGGGCCCUGCGCUCCUGCCCUGGAUGUGUGGGGGUUCUCUGCCAGGCCACUGCUCCUCACGAAGGUCACAGAAGCAGUGCAAUGUCAGUACAGGCACGUGUGUGGAUAUCAUGCUCGCUUUCUCCAAAAAGGCUAAAACACACUGACUUUUCAAGAAGCUUUGAGCCCACACUGAAUUCACAAUAAAUGAAAUGUUUUAAAAUUGAUUUUAAGUACUAAUUGUCCCCAUGAAGUUCUAAUGACAACAGAACAGUAAUAUCAACCUUCAUAAUAUGAAGACUUAGCCAGGCGUGGUGGCGCACACCUGUUAUCAGCACUCAGGACGCUGAGGCAGGAGGAUCACGAGUUUGAAGCCAGGGUGGGCUACAUAGCAAGUUCAAGACCAGCCUGAACUACACAGCAAGACCCUGCCUGAAAAAAAAAAAGAGAAAGUUCUCAAG